rnacentral:rRNA from 1 species
UACGUAGGGUGCAAGCGUUGUCCGGAAUUAUUGGGCGUAAAGAGCUCGUAGGCGGUCUGUCGCGUCUGCUGUGAAAACUCAGGGCUUAACCCCGAGCCUGCAGUGGAUACGGGCAGACUAGAGGUAGGUAGGGGAGAAUGGAAUUCCCGGUGUAGCGGUGAAAUGCGCAGAUAUCGGAAGGAACACCGGUGGCGAAGGCGGUUCUCUGGGCCUUACCUGACGCUGAGGAGCGAAAGCGUGGGGAGCGAACAGG